UAAAAGGGUGCACUAAGAUAGACUAGUUUAGGUCAAUGAAUUCAGCUAAAAGAACAUCCUUAUUAAAAAUAUAGAAAAGCACUACAGAACUGAGGCCUAACCCUUGGUUCAAAUUGACCUAUUGUUUUCCAGCAUUCACUUGGCCAUCUCUUCAUUCUGAGACUGGGAUUCACUUCACAAGGUCCACCUCCAAGAAUUAGAAGACCAUGGUAAAUGCACUAAGCAGGGGGAUCUUAGUCCCAGUAAGUCAUUCAACGUGCAAACAGAACCCAACAGUGGGGUGUGCCAUUUGUAAGGACUCAAAGCAAGGUAGGUGGAAGCACACUUUGGAGAUCCUGGAAUGUAGGAUGACACAGUCAAGGACAGUUGCUGGGGGCUCCAAAGGUGACCCUACUAGGGGAAAGUGAAAGGGAAGGAAAGGGAAAUGGAAAA
rnacentral:lncRNA from 1 species